UAGGGAAUCUUCGGCAAUGGGGGCAACCCUGACCGAGCAACGCCGCGUGAGUGAAGAAGGUUUUCGGAUCGUAAAGCUCUGUUGUAAGUCAAGAACGAGUGUGAGAGUGGAAAGUUCACACUGUGACGGUAGCUUACCAGAAAGGGACGGCUAACUACGUGCCAGCAGCCGCGGUAAUACGUAGGUCCCGAGCGUUGUCCGGAUUUAUUGGGCGUAAAGCGAGCGCAGGCGGUUUGAUAAGUCUGAAGUUAAAGGCUGUGGCUCAACCAUAGUUCGCUUUGGAAACNGUCAAACUUGAGUGCAGAAGGGGAGAGUGGAAUUCCAUGUGUAGCGGUGAAAUGCGUAGAUAUAUGGAGGAACACCGGUGGCGAAAGCGGCUCUCUGGUCUGUAACUGACGCUGAGGCUCGAAAGCGUGGGGAGCGAACAGGAUUAGAUACCCUGGUAGUCCACGCCGUAAACGAUGAGUGCUAGGUGUUAGACCCUUUCCGGGGUNGNGUGCCGUAGCUAACGCAUUAAGCACUCCGCCUGGGGAGUACGGCCGCAAGGUUG
rnacentral:rRNA from 1 species